rnacentral:lncRNA from 1 species
UUCCUGGAGCCGCUGUUCCAGCUCUUGCGGACGAGGGCUCUCCGUGCGCAGCCGGCGAUGCAUCCGGUUUCCCCAGGAAGAGCUGUGCUGGGGGGACACCCAUGAGUACCGCGUCUGCCAGCUGCCUGACUGUCCCCCAGGGGCUGUGCCCUUCCGAGACCUCCAGUGUGCUCUCUACAAUGGCCUCCCAGUCCUGGGCACGCAGAAGACUUACCAAUGGGUGCCCUUUUAUGGUG